rnacentral:rRNA from 1 species
UACGGAGGGUGCAAGCGUUAUCCGGAUUUACUGGGUUUAAAGGGUGCGUAGGUGGGUUUGUAAGUCAGUGGUGAAAUCUUCGAGCUUAACUCGGAAACUGCCAUUGAUACUAUAGAUCUUGAAUCAUCUGGAGGUAAGCGGAAUAUGUCAUGUAGCGGUGAAAUGCUUAGAUAUGACAUAGAACACCAAUUGCGAAGGCAGCUUACUACGGAUGUAUUGACACUGAGGCACGAAAGCGUGGGGAUCAAACAGG